CUCAGAGUGAACGCUGGCGGUAGUCCUAAUACAUGCAAGUCGAACGGCAGCACAGGAGAGCUUGCUCUCUGGUUGGCGAGUGGCGGACGGGUGAGGAAUACAUCGGAAUCUACCUUUUCGUGGGGGAUAACGUAGGGAAACUUACGCUAAUACCGCAUACGACCUACGGGUGAAAGUGGGGGACCGCAAGGCCUCACGCGAUUAGAUGAGCCGAUGUCCGAUUAGCUAGUUGGCGGGGUAAUGGCCCACCAAGGCGACGAUCGGUAGCUGGUCUGAGAAGAUGAUCAGCCACACUGGAACUGAGACACGGUCCAGACUCCUACGGGAGGCAGCAG
rnacentral:rRNA from 1 species